rnacentral:rRNA from 1 species
UACGAAGGGGGCUAGCGUUGUUCGGAAUUACUGGGCGUAAAGCGCUCGUAGGCGGAUUGUUAAGUCAGGGGUGAAAUCCUGGAGCUCAACUCCAGAACUGCCUUUGAUACUGGCGAUCUCGAGUCCGGGAGAGGUGAGUGGAACUGCGAGUGUAGAGGUGAAAUUCGUAGAUAUUCGCAAGAACACCAGUGGCGAAGGCGGCUCACUGGCCCGGUACUGACGCUGAGGUGCGAAAGCGUGGGGAGCAAACAGG